rnacentral:rRNA from 1 species
UAGCAUAUCAAUAAGCGGAGGAAAAGAAACUAACAAGGAUUCCCCUAGUAACGGCGAGUGAAGCGGGAUGAGCUCAAAUUUGGAAUCUGGUAGCCUUUGGCUGCCCGAGUUGUAAUCUAGAGAAGUGUUUUCUGUGCUGGCCUGUGUUCAAGUUUCCUGGAUAUGGAACAUCAUAGAGGGUGAGAAUCCCGUCUUUGGCACAGACUCCCAGUGCUAUGUGAUACACUCUCAACGAGUCGAGUUGUUUGGGAUUGCAGCUCAAAAUGGGAGGUAAAUUCCUUCUAAAGCUAAAUAUUGGCGAGAGACCGAUAGCGAACAAGUACCGUGAGGGAAAGAUGAAAAGCACUUUGGAAAGAGAGUUAAACAGUACGUGAAAUUGUUAAAAGGGAAACAAUUGAAGUCAGUCGCAUCUACUUGGACUCAGCCUUACUUUGGUUUGGUGCAUUUCCUUGUGGAUGGGCCAGUGUUCAUGUUGAUUGCUGGAAAAAGGGGUCAGGGAAUGUGGCUCUUUCGGGAGUGUUAUAGCCUUGGUUCAUAUACAACAAUUAAUAUGGAGUGGUACAGCAUGCUUCGGUGGUGCUUGUGCUGGCAUAAUGGCUUUAAAUGACCCGUCUUGAAACACGGACCAAGGAGUCUAACAUGUCUGCAAGUAUUUGGGUGAUAAACCCGAGUGCGUAAUGAAAGUGAUAGCUGGGAACCCUGCAAAGGGGGCACCAGUGCCCCGAGCGGAUCUUCUGUGAUGCAUCGGAGGUAGAGCAUAUAUGUUGGGACCCGAAAGAUGGUGAACUAUGCCUGAAUAGGGUGAAGCCAGAGGAAACUCUGGUGGAGGCUCGUAGCGAUUCUGACGUGCAAAUCGAUCGUCAAAUUUGGGUAUAGGGGCGAAAGACUAAUCGAACCAUCUAGUAGCUGGUUCUGCG